rnacentral:ribozyme from 1 species
UCAAGUUUUCCACAAUAUUUUGUGACUGUAACUUGUUGCUUUAAGACUAUAUCAUACGGUAUUAGUCAUAGUAAUAUUGGCAUUAGCUUACAGUG